rnacentral:pre_miRNA from 1 species
CAACUACUCCCUCUAUCCCAAAUUUCUUGUCUUAGAUUUGUGUAGAUACGGAUAUAUCUAAUACUAAAAUGUGACUUGAUACAUCCGUAUCUAGACAAUUCUAAGACAAGAAUUUUGGGACGGAGGGAGUACUUU